AAUAAAGGGAAUAUCACCUAGAGAAUGUCCCAUCUCUUCUGAUUUUGGAAACUAAGCCGAUUUGGUCCUGGUUAGUACUCGAUGGGAGACCUCUGAGAAUACCAAGUGCUGUAAUGG
rnacentral:rRNA from 1 species